CAAACCUCCAUAAUUGUUAUAAAUCACACUGUUUAUAUUAAACAUGCUUCACUGAUUCGAGUAUUUGGCGAGCGCCGUUUUGUCCUACUAAUUUUGGCGGUCCUUGAACUCACCAUAGUGUAUAACUUUCUCCGACUUUCUAGGACGUGUUUUAUGCCACUUCUUUUUCUGUCUCAUUUUGUCCACCAAACUUUUAACGUUGUACGUGAAUACUCAAAGAGACUUGCCCUACAUCUUUACAGCACAACCAGACCAACCGGUAUUUGUAAGGAAGUUGACCCAACAACACGUCAUCGUCUGGACAAUAUCAUUAAGAUGUGCCACACCCAAUGCCUAAUGGAGUGAGGUCAAGAGGACAGUCACUUACACAGGUGAAAACCUCCGUUACCUGG